UAGCUAUUAUUUUUUUUGGGAUGUAGACUGCAUUCAUAUGUAAAAUUUAGCCUUAAAAGUUGAGGGGGUCGUAUUUUUGUUUUUUUAAAAAAGGUGACUGAUCAUGUCCAUUUCUCUUUUUUUAUGACUUUAAUCACCAAAAAAAAUAAAAAAUAAAAAAAUGAAUAUCAAAAGUUUAUACUGGCAAGCAUAACUUUUUUUAGAACGAUUAGUCGCUCAAUAAUUUGAGGCAUUUGAAAAUUAGCCCGUCCUUUUCAAAGGAUUUAUUCUCUUCAUUUUAUAUUUCUAAUUGGAUUCUACUUUUCGAGAGCGGAUAAAACCAUUCAUAUGUAAUGAAUGAACAAGGAUCUACGUUUGUAAAAUAAUAGUUUGCAUUAUUAAACU